UAGCGAAGGGGGCUAGCGUUGCUCGGAAUCACUGGGCGUAAAGGGUGCGUAGGCGGGUCUUUAAGUCAGGGGUGAAAUCCUGGAGCUCAACUCCAGAACUGCCUUUGAUACUGAAGAUCUUGAGUUCGGGAGAGGUGAGUGGAACUGCGAGUGUAGAGGUGAAAUUCGUAGAUAUUCGCAAGAACACCAGUGGCGAAGGCGGCUCACUGGCCCGAUACU
rnacentral:rRNA from 1 species